AGUGAACGCUGGCGGCGUGCCUAAUACAUGCAAGUCGAACGAAGUGGCGCACGGGUGUGUAAUAUAUAGUUAAUCUGCCCUACACAGAGGAACAACAGUUGGAAACGACUGCUAAUACCUCAUAGUGUAGGAUGAGACUAUAUCGUAUCAGCUAGUUGGUAAGGUAAUGGCAUACCAAGGCUAUGACGCGUAACUGGUGUGAGAGGAUGAUCAGUCACGUUGGAACUGAGACACGGUACAAACUGCUACGGGGGGCAAGAGUGAGGAAUAGUGCGAAAUGGGGGAAACUCUGACGCAGCAACGCCGCGUGGAGGAUGAGACUUGGGGGAGCAUAAACUCCUUUUAACAGGAAAGCGGUACCUGAUGAAUAAGCACCGGCUAACUCCGUGCCAGCCGCCGCGGUAAUUC
rnacentral:rRNA from 1 species